GAAGUACUUCCUCCGUUCCGAAUUACUUGUUGCAGAUAUGCAUGUAUCUAGAUGUAUUUUAGUUCUAUAUAUAUUCAUUUCUGCGACGAGUAAUUUAGAACGGAGGGAGUAGAUG
rnacentral:pre_miRNA from 1 species